UACGUAGGGUGCGAGCGUUGUCCGGAAUUACUGGGCGUAAAGAGCUCGUAGGUGGUUUGUCGCGUUGUUCGUGAAAACUCACAACUCAAUUGUGGGCGUGCGGGCGAUACGGGCAGACUGGAGUACUGCAGGGGAGACUGGAAUUCCUGGUGUAGCGGUGGAAUGCGCAGAUAUCAGGAGGAACACCGGUGGCGAAGGCGGCCAUCUGGACCAGCACUGACGCUGAUGCACGAAAGUGUGGGGAUCAAACAGG
rnacentral:rRNA from 1 species